UUACCAAAAACAUCGCCUUUAGAAAAAAGAUUAAAGGUUCUGCCUGCCCGGUGACAAUAGUUAAACGGCUGCAGUAUUACUGACUGUGCAAAGGUAGCAUAAUCAUUCGCCUGUUAAUUGCAGGCUAGUAUCAACGGCUAGACGACAGAGAAGCUGUCUCCCUUUAUAUAAUUUGAAAUUAACCUUAAGGUGAAGAGACCUUAAUAAUGUAGUGGGACGAGAAGACCCUAUAGAGCUUUACCUAUAUAAUUUUAAAUUUUGAAUUAGUAGGUUUGGUUGGGGCAACCUCCCCUUUUUUAAAGCAGGGGAUAAUCAAAAUGUAUUAAAACAAAUAACAAGACCCAAAACUUUUUGAUCAAAAGAAAAAGUUACCUUAGGGAUAACAGCGUAA
rnacentral:rRNA from 1 species